AUGAUGAUUUGGGACACCGUGGAUUGUUCUUACCACCGCUCUCUUCGCGCAAAGUCUUCACGCAUUUCUUCUACAUGUGCCAUGUUCACUUUGCAUGAUAUGCUCAUUUGUUUACAUUUGCCAUGCAUUUGUGACCCAUGCUUUGCAUUACACAUGAUGAUUGAUGCUACUACUUGUAUGUGUAUUUGCAAGCUUGGUGGAGAUAUUGCUUGUUAUUGCCAUGUUCCAUUUAUGCCACAUUCCUAUGAUGAUACUAUGAUCUUGCUUUGUGCUCGUGCUCGCGAUAUGUCAUGUGCACUUCCUAUAUCUAUUAUUUACUCACAUGACAUGAUUGCCAUGAUUUCCUCUAGUGUGUUGCAUCUUCGCUCCACUAGUUUGCACGACUUGAUUUCUAUGCUUUCUCUUGUUGCAUCCAAUUCUUGGAUUAGUUGCUCCUAUCAUAUGUUUGGUUGCAACAAUGUCAUUACUUCACAUAUGCCAUGUCCCAUUGCUUGUCACUUGCUUGACUUGAUUGCCUCGCACAUGUUGCAAUAUUGCUAUAUCAUUUGUGCUGAGUGCCUCACUUUCUUCACCACACCAUAUGCACAUUAUGCUUGGAUUAUCUUGCACUUGCCCCAUGUGUUUAGACUUGCAUUUCAUUUGGUGUUGUGA
rnacentral:rRNA from 1 species